AUUGAACGCUGGCGGCAGGCCUAACACAUGCAAGUCGAGCGGAGCGGCGGACGGGUGAGUAAUGCCUGGGAAUCUGCCUGGUAGUGGGGGAUAACGUCCGGAAACGGGCGCUAAUACCGCAUACUAUCAGAUGAGCCUAGGUCGGAUUAGCUAGUUGGUGGGGUAAAGGCCUACCAAGGCGACGAUCCGUAACUGGUCUGAGAGGAUGAUCAGUCACACUGGAACUGAGACACGGGCCAGACGACGACGGUAGGCAGCAGUGGGGAAGAGUGGACAAUGGGGGAAAGCCUGAGCAAGCCAUGCGGCGUGUGUGAAGAAGGUCGUCGGAGUGGAAAGCACUUUAAGUGGGGAGGCGGUACCAACAGAAUAAGCACCGGCUAACUUCGUGCCAGCAGCCGCGGUAAUAC
rnacentral:rRNA from 1 species